GACGAAGGGGGCGAGCGUUAUCCGGAAUGACUGGGCGUAAAGGGUCCGUAGGUAGUUUCUCAUGUUAAAAAUUAAAUAAAAAAGCUUAACUUUUUUUGUUUUUAAUACUUUGAAGCUUAGAGUUUGAAGGAAGAUUGCAGAAUUUCACAUGGAGGGGUGAUAUCCAUAGAUAUGUGAAGGAAUACCAAUGGCGAAGGCAGCAGUCUAUUUCAAAACUGACACUGAGGGACGAAAGCAUGGGUAGCAAACAGG
rnacentral:rRNA from 1 species